CUUCAAAUUCCUUUCUAAUUUGAAAUAUAUCCUCAAAUAUAGAAAAUUGAGAGAUACCAUCUUUCUCUACAAAAUGCUUCAGAACGUGCAAUUUUUAAAUUAAGCAGAAAGAAAAAAAGGAAGAAAAAUGUUUAAUGAAAAAUCCCAAUCAUCUCAUAAACAACUCAUUUUACUACAAGGCAACCCUGAUUUAUAGUGGCGCAUCAAAGCUGGAUGUCAAAGUUACUAUUUCCUGAAGGAUAACAGUGGCCACCCGGUUGCAUUUCCUUGCCAAUCUACAGUGACUGUCAUGGUUCAAAGCAAAGGGAACAGAAUGACCAGUGAAUUGAGCCAUUCACAUCAGUGAUAGCGUUGCUCUGUUGGGAGAAUGCACUACAAAAAUGAGAGGAGAGAGUGUUGAAUCCACCAGAAUGUUGGGAGAUGUAAUUCCAGAAAGGAGGACUUCAAGGACUUCCAGCAUCACUUUCCAGCACAGCAAGAACAUCCACAGUACAUGGUGCAGUUGCACUGAUGCACAGUUUUGUCACUGAGCCUGAUGCUAGAUAUUUUCUGCUCCAGUGGGGAAGUUAAUUACUUUUAUCAAAAUUAAUCUAAAUCUGCAUUAAUAUAAGGGUUAGGAUGAAGGUUAAAUAAAGUUUCAAAUCAUCUCAUCCUAAACUUGUCAGAUUAGACAAGUCUUUGCAACUGAUGAUUGAUUCUUAUGAAAGCAAAAGCUGCCGCUCUCUCAACAUUGCUGAGGCUGCAAGGCAAAUGUGGAGUCCAUCUAGUCAACCCCCUCCUCUAAGGAGCCAGAGCAGGUCACUCCAGCGGGAUUUUCAGUACCCCCAAUGGGAAAGACUCCAUAACCUCUCUGAGGAACAUGCUCCAUUGGUCAGUCACCCUCACAGUUAAUAUUUCCUUAUGUAUAAACGGCUUUUCUGUGUUUCAGUGUAUUUUCUGUACUUCCUCCAUGAGGUGUUUAUGCACAUUGAUAAAAUCCCUCCUAAGCCUUCUGUGUUCCUCAUGUGUCAUGUACUGCAAGCCCUUAAUCACUGAGUAGCUGUUUACAAGAAUUACCCCAGCAUCUCCCUGUCUUUUGCACAGAGGAGCCCAGCACUGGGCCAGCACUCCAGGUCUGUCUCACCAGGGUUCAGUAGAGGGGAAGAACCAUCUCCCUCAAUCUGCUGGUAAAACUCUUGUCUAAUGGACCCUGGGAGACUGCUGACCUUGAUCCCUUCUGGAUCAGAGAUAACUUGGUGUCCCUGAGGGGCCCAGGUACAGGGCUUUGCAUUUCCCUUUGUUGAAAUUUAUGAGAUUCCUGUCUGCCCAUUUCUCCACCCUGACAAGGUUCCUGUGAAGAGCAACACAACUUUCUGGUCCACCAAUCAGUCUUCUGUAAACUUGCUGGAGGUGGAUUCUGUCUCGUCAUGCAGGUCAUUAACUGAGAUGUUGAACAGCAGUGGUCCCAGUAUCACUCUGUGACAUACACACCAAGGACUUUGGUUUUCCUAGCCCCAUUCCUGCAUGGUUGGACACUGUCUCUAUAUUCUUCUUGGAUCACUUGUCCCUGCUUACACUUAUUGUAUGCUUUCUUUCCAUGUUUGAGUUUUGUCAAAAGCUACUUGCUCAUCUCUGCAGACCUUCUGCCACCUUUGUUUGGCUUCUUGCACAUAGGCAUGGACUGCUCUUGAACUUGGAGGAGGUGAUCCUGGAAAAUCAACAAGAUGCAAUUAUGAGUAUUUGGUGUCUAAUAUCCCAGUCUAAAGACAUUCCUACAAUUAUCUUUGCAUUAUAUGUUAUAAACAGUGAAAAAAGAACAAGAUUAGGUUUUGGUUUGGUUUUUUUUUUUUUAAUUACUUAAUUAAUAUUGAUUGGUACAAUAAUUCUCUGCAGUAUUUCCCCAUAAUUUUUUUCAUUAAAAUUCCCACUUUAUGGGGAAAAAAAUCUGGUAAUUUUAUUAAAUGGUAGCUACCAUCAAUAUCUGACCUUUGAGAUAGUCCUUCACACUAAAUCUAAAUCCUCUGGAUUUUUAAAGGAUUAAACAGGUUAACUGAACACUUUUAUGCUUAACCUUAGAGAGCCUUAAAAGCUCUCAAAAAAAAAAAAAAGUCCUAAUUUUUAUAUAUUUCAUGUGUUUAUCAUUCAGUACUAAAGUAAAUGUAUUGAAUUAACUGAAAUGGAAUUUUGUAUUUGUUCUUCAAAGCAAAAAUCUUAGGAUUGUGGAUAAAUUUGUUAUAAACAAUGUUUUGAAAAAAUUAGGCAAAGAUUAACCUAUUGCAUUUUUUGCCUUGUGACUGCCAAAGUAUUAUAGUUUCAUUGUUUUUUUUUCCCUAAAAGAAUGAAACUUAUGAAUGAGAAGAACGGUAAAUGAUGAAUAAAAGACCCAUAAAAUUGUU